rnacentral:rRNA from 1 species
UACGUAGGGUCCGAGCGUUGUCCGGAAUUAUUGGGCGUAAAGAGCUCGUAGGCGGUGUGUCGCGUCGGCCGUGAAAACCUGCAGCUUAACUGUGGGCUUGCGGUCGAUACGGGCAGACUAGAGUGUGGUAGGGGAGACUGGAAUUCCUGGUGUAGCGGUGGAAUGCGCAGAUAUCAGGAGGAACACCGGUGGCGAAGGCGGGUCUCUGGACAGUUCCUGACGCUGAGGCACGAAGGUCAGGGGAGCAAACGGG